CAGCAGCAGCAAUGCUUGUCGAGCUGUUGGUAGCUGUCAUUUUGACAACAUCAGUUGACUCUAUGAAAACUCAGAAGGGGAGAAACUUCCUUCUUCCAUUCUUGGACACAACUGGAUCAGCACGUUUGAUGUUCAUAACGGACAAACCGACGGAAAUAAACAUAAACAUAAUGCC